ACCUCGAAGUCAGACUUCUUGACGUGGAUUAGGUUGUUAAUCGUCCCCAUCUGGCUGGUGACCACGGGCUGGAGAGAACUGAGGCUCCUACAUCACCUCCUAUUUUCAUCCUCCAUCCUGUUACACGGGUGUGUUCUCCUUCCCAUGCUGCUACCGCAUGAUUCAGUUUGGAGAACCUGCAAUUACAUCCUGUCUAGUUCCCUGAAGAA